AUGGCAUAGUUUUCCCGCAUGGGAUAAUUAUUAAAGAAUUUCGGGUUGUCGAUGGGGAUGCGUUCCAUUAGGCAGUUGGCGGGUAACGCCCACCAAACCAACGAUGGAUAGGGGUUCUGAGAGGAAGGUCCCCCACAUUGGAACUGAGACACGGUCCAAACUCCUACGGGAGGCAGCAGUGAGGAAUAUUGGUCAAUGGACGAGAGUCUGAACCAGCCAAGUAGCGUGAAGGAUGACUGCCCUAUGGGUUGUAAACUUCUUUUAUACGGGAAUAAAGUUAGCCACGUGUGGUUUUUUGUAUGUACCGUAUGAAUAAGGAUCGGCUAACUCCGUG
rnacentral:rRNA from 1 species